rnacentral:misc_RNA from 1 species
AGUCGUAACAAGGUAUCCGUAGGUGAACCUGCGGAUGGAUCAUUAUAGGUUAUUUUGAAUGUUGUGUGAACAGUGUGAUUGCAGGUUGUGGUGGGUGUGUUAUGUGGUAUAUUAUAUGGUAUGUGGUAUAUGGUAUGAUAUGUGGUAUAUUAUAUGAUAUAUGGUAUGAUAUAUAAUAUAUAAUAUAAUAUCAUCCACCUUGACAACAUUGACGUACAUUAGUGCUGAAUACAUAUUAUAUAUUGAAAUAUAAACAACUUUCAGCAAUGGAUCUCUUGGCUCUC